rnacentral:rRNA from 1 species
AGCGAACGCUGGCGGCAUGCCUAACACAUGCAAGUCGAACGAACCGUUCGGGGUCAUUGGCCGACGGGGGAGUAACACGUGGGAACGUGCCCUUAUGGACUGAAUAACUCUGAGAAUCUUGUACUAACACCGAAUGUGCGCUUCUAGCGAAAGAUUUAUCGUCUUUAGAGCGGCCCGCGUCUGAUUAGCUAGUUGGUUGAGGUAAUGGCUCACCAAGGCGACGAUCAGUAGCUGGUAUGAGAGGAUGAUCAGCGACAUUGGGACUGGGACACGGCCGAAACUCUUACGCGAGGGAGCAGUGGGGAAUCUUGCGAAAUGGGCGAAAGCCUGAAGCAGCCAUGAUGGGUGAAUGAUGAAGGUAUUAGGAAAGAAAAAUUUUUUCAACGGGGAAGAUAAUGACGGUACCCGGAGAAGAAGCCACGGCUAACUUCGUG